CCUACAGGUGGCAGCAGUGGGGAAUAUUGCACAAUGGGGGAAACCCUGAUGCAGCGACGCCGCGUGAGUGAAGAAGUAAUUCGUUAUGUAAAGCUCUAUCAGCAGGGAAGAAAAUGACGGUACCUGAGUAAGAAGCCCCGGCUAACUACGUGCCAGAAACCGCGGUAAUACGUAGGGGGCAAGCGUUAUCCGGAUUUACUGGGUGUAAAGGUAGCGUAGACGGCAUGGCAAUUCUGGAGUGAAAGGCGGGGGCUCAACCCCCGGACUGCUUUGGAAACUGUACGGCUGGAGUGCAGGAGAGGAGAGUGGAAUUCCAAGUGUAGCGGUGAAAUGCGUAGAUAUAUGGAGGAACACCAGUGGCGAAGGCGGCUUUCUGGACUGUAACUGACGCUGAGGCUCGAAAGCGUGGGGAGCAAACAGGAUUAGAUACCCGGGUAGUC
rnacentral:rRNA from 1 species